GGGGACGGGCGGCGUGCUAUACAUGCAAGUCGAACGCUUUGUGGUUCAACUGAUUUGAAGAGCUUGCUCAGAUAUGACGAUGGACAUUGCAAAGAGUGGCGAACGGGUGAGUAACACGUGGGAAACCUACCUCUUAGCAGGGGAUAACAUUUGGAAACAGAUGCUAAUACCGUAUAACAAUGACAACCGCAUGGUUGUUAUUUAAAAGAUGGUUCUGCUAUCACUAAGAGAUGGUCCCGCGGUGCAUUAGCUAGUUGGUAAGGUAAUGGCUUACCAAGGCGAUGAUGCAUAGCCGAGUUGAGAGACUGAUCGGCCACAAUGGGACUGAGACACGGCCCAUACUCCUACGGGAGGCAGCAGUAGGGAAUCUUCCACAAUGGGCGAAAGCCUGAUGGAGCAACGCCGCGUGUGUGAUGAAGGGUUUCGGCUCGUAAAACACUGUUGUAAGAGAAGAAUGACAUUGAGAGUAACUGUUCAAUGUGUGACGGUAUCUUACCAGAAAGGAACGGCUAAAUACGUGCCAGCAGCCGCGGUAAUACGUAUGUUCCAAGCGUUAUCCGGAUUUAUUGGGCGUAAAGCGAGCGCAGACGGUUAUUUAAGUCUGAAGUGAAAGCCCUCAGCUCAACUGAGGAAUUGCUUUGGAAACUGGAUGACUUGAGUGCAGUAGAGGAAAGUGGAACUCCAUGUGUAGCGGUGAAAUGCGUAGAUAUAUGGAAGAACACCAGUGGCGAAGGCGGCUUUCUGGACUGUAACUGACGUUGAGGCUCGAAAGUGUGGGUAGCAAACAGGAUUAGAUACCCUGGUAGUCCACACCGUAAACGAUGAGUGCUAGGUGUUUGAGGGUUUCCGCCCUUAAGUGCCGCAGCUAACGCAUUAAGCACUCCGCCUGGGGAGUACGACCGCAAGGUUGAAACUCAAAGGAAUUGACGGGGACCCGCACAAGCGGUGGAGCAUGUGGUUUAAUUCGAAGCAACGCGAAGAACCUUACCAGGUCUUGACAUCCCUUGACAACUCCAGAGAUGGAGCGUUCCCUUCGGGGACAAGGUGACAGGUGGUGCAUGGUUGUCGUCAGCUCGUGUCGUGAGAUGUUGGGUUAAGUCCCGCAACGAGCGCAACCCUUAUUACUAGUUGCCAGCAUUCAGUUGGGCACUCUAGUGAGACUGCCGGUGACAAACCGGAGGAAGGUGGGGAUGACGUCAAAUCAUCAUGCCCCUUAUGACCUGGGCUACACACGUGCUACAAUGGCGUAUACAACGAGUUGCCAACCCGCGAGGGUGAGCUAAUCUCUUAAAGUACGUCUCAGUUCGGAUUGUAGGCUGCAACUCGCCUACAUGAAGUCGGAAUCGCUAGUAAUCGCGGAUCAGCACGCCGCGGUGAAUACGUUCCCGGGUCUUGUACACACCGCCCGUCACACCAUGAGAGUUUGUAACACCCAAAGCCGGUGGGGUAACCUUCGGGAGCCAGCCGUCUAAGGGUGAACCAAAAU
rnacentral:rRNA from 1 species